GACGAACGCUGGCGGCGUGCUUAACACAUGCAAGUCGAACGAUGAUCAGGAGCUUGCUCCUGUGAUUAGUGGCGAACGGGUGAGUAACACGUGAGUAACCUGCCCCUGACUCUGGGAUAAGCGUUGGAAACGACGUCUAAUACUGGAUAUGAUCACUGGUCGCAUGGCCUGGUGGUGGAAAGAUUUUUUGGUUGGGGAUGGACUCGCGGCCUAUCAGCUUGUUGGUGAGGUAAUGGCUCACCAAGGCGA
rnacentral:rRNA from 1 species